rnacentral:rRNA from 1 species
CCUACGGUGGACAGCAGUGAGGAAUAUUGGUCAAUGGGCGGAAGCCUGAACCAGCCAAGUCGCGUGAGGGAAUAAGGCCCUACGGGUCGUAAACCUCUUUUGCCGGGGAGCAAGGGCGGGGACGUGUCCCGGCCCGGAGAGUACCCGGAGAAAAAGCAUCGGCUAACUCCGUGCCCGCAGCCGCGGUAAUACGGAGGAUGCGAGCGUUAUCCGGAUUUAGUGGGUUUAAAGGGUGCGUAGGCGGGCUUUUAAGUCAGCGGUAAAAAUUCGGGGCUCAACCCCGUCCGGCCGUUGAAACUGGGGGCCUUGAGUGGGCGAGAAGAAGGCGGAAUGCGUGGUGUAGCGGUGAAAUGCAUAGAUAUCACGCAGAACCCCGAUUGCGAAGGCAGCCUUCCGGCGCCCUACUGACGCUGAGGCACGAAAGUGCGGGGAUCGAACAGGAUUAGAUACCCUUGUAGUC